rnacentral:rRNA from 1 species
GAUGAACGCUGGCGGCGUGCCUAAUACAUGCAAGUCGAGCGAACGGACGAGAAGCUUGCUUUUCUGAUGUUAGCGGCGGACGGGUGAGUAACACGUGGAUAACCUACCUAUAAGACUGGGAUAACUUCGGGAAACCGGAGCUAAUACCGGAUAAUAUUUUGAACCGCAUGGUUCAAAAGUGAAAGACGGUCUUGCUGUCACUUAUAGAUGGAUCCGCGCUGCAUUAGCUAGUUGGUAAGGUAACGGCUUACCAAGGCAACGAUGCGUAGCCGACCUGAGAGGGUGAUCGGCCACACUGGAACUGAGACACGGUCCAGACUCCUACGGGAGGCAGCAGUAGGGAAUCUUCCGCAAUGGGCGAAAGCCUGACGGAGCAACGCCGCGUGAGUGAUGAAGGUCUUCGGAUCGUAAAACUCUGUUAUUAGGGAAGAACAGAUGUGGAAGUAACUGUGCACAUCUUGACGGUACCUAAUCAAAAAGCCACGGCUAACUACGUG